GUGCCAGCAGCCGCGGUAAUACGUAGGUGGCAAGCGUUGUCCGGAUUUAUUGGGCGUAAAGCGAGCGCAGGCGGUUUCUUAAGUCUGAUGUGAAAGCCCCCCGGCUCAACCGGGGAGGGUCAUUGGAAACUGGGAGACUUGAGUGCAGAAGAGGAGAGUGGAAUUCCAUGUGUAGCGGUGAAAUGCGUAGAUAUAUGGAGGAACACCAGUGGCGAAGGCGGCUCUCUGGUCUGUAACCUUAUUAGAUGACGCUGAGGCUCGAAAGCGUGGGGAGCGAACAGGAUUAGAUACCCUGGUAGUCC
rnacentral:rRNA from 1 species